UACGGAGGGGGCAAGCGUUGUUCGGAUUUACUGGGCGUAAAGGGAGUGUAGGCGGCCGAUCAAGUCCGAUGUGAAAGCCUUACCGCUUACCGGAAGGAGGUCAUCGGAAACUGAUUGGCUAGAGUAAGGUAGAGGCGAGCGGAAUUCCUGGUGUAGCGGUGAAAUGCAUAGAUACCAUAAAGAACACCGAUAGUGAAGACAGUUUACCAGGCUACAACUGACGCUGAGGCACGAAAGCAUGGAGAUCGAACAGG
rnacentral:rRNA from 1 species